GAGAAGCCAAUUUUUCUCUCCACAAGGUACCAAAAUUUUGCACUGUUGCAAGGAACUUCAUCAAUUCUUCUUAUAUAUGUGAUUUUGGGUAUUGAAUUUGUAAGUGUUGGAUUUGUUAACAGUUUAUUCUGGCCGCAAAAAGCAACUCCAUCAGAAAGGUCAUAAUGGAAUCAGAGGAGAGUGACUUAACCAGAAUAGACCUCACGAACAUACCUGGAGGCCAAGAAGCUUUCGAGAAAGUAGUGAAGUUUUGUUACGGCGUCAACUUCGAGAUCACCGUUCACAACGUCGCUCCACUGCACUGCGCCGCCGUAUUCCUCCAGAUGACCGACGAGUAUUGCGACGGAAACCUUGCCG
rnacentral:lncRNA from 1 species